AUGUUGUAUGGCGCGGAGUGUUGGCCGACUAAAAGGCGACAUGUUCAACAGUUAGGUGUGGCGGAGAUGCGUAUGUUGAGAUGGAUGUGUGGCCACACGAGGAAGGAUCGAGUCCGAAAUGAUGAUAUACGAGAUAGAGUUGGGGUAACACCAAUUGAGGAGAAGCUUGUCCAACAUCGUCUGAGAUGGUUUGGGCAUAUUCAGCGCAGGCCUCCAAAAGCUCCAGUGCAUAGCGGACGGCUAAAGCAUGCAGAGAAUGUCAAGAGAGGGCGGGGUAGACCGAAUUUGACAUGGGAGGAGUCCGUUAAGAGAGACCUGAAGGAUUGGAGUAUCACCAAAGAGCUAGCUAUGGACAGA
rnacentral:rRNA from 1 species